UUCAAUCUUCAAACGCUGAGGAUCAACAGCAGCAGCAGCAGCAGCAGUAGGAGCCGCACAGGAGCAACAGAAGCACCAGGAUCGAGGACUCCUCGCAGCGCCAUGUCCAGGCGGCGCUAAGGAGGCUGUUGCAGCAUCUCCACACCGACAGAAGAACAAAAUCCACCGCAGCAAGCCCAACAAAAUUCAGUCGACAAAAGUUGCAAAAAUUCAACCGCCGAAUGUCAGAUUAAUUUGUAUAAAAAGAAACCCAAGUACCAACAAGCCAAACUCCUAAACGAACAAUUUGCGAAAAUUGUUAAUGUGAAACUUACACAUUUUCGUGAUAUGGUUAAAGUAUAACACAAAUACCCAACACAACAAACAAAAAGCAUAAGUUUAAGCAAAAGUUUAACCAAAUUCAAAAAAAAAUCUAUAUCAGCGAAAUACCACCACAUGAAAUCAAAGCAUAAUUAAAAUAUUUUCUCCAAACACAACCACGAUACCUUCUUGGAUUAAUAAUAAUUCCAAAAAUAUCUAAAAACAAAAUUCCAAAGUACCAUCGAAAAUUAAGGAAAGCUGAUAGCCAAGAAAAUUGUAAAUCGCCUGGAACCAAUUGGAAAGUUAACAACACAUCUGGCCAAAUAGCACGAGAUGAAAAAUCUUUAGUGAAGAGAGAUAAUAAUAUCGUUUUUAUAUCUUACAGGAACCCCAGAAGCUGAAGAAAGGAAAGCUAUUAUGGAUCGAGCAGUAACCAUAUAUCUUGCAUCCGGAUCAAACUCACAUCCCCAUCAACGAAAUUGUUAUGAAACUCAACAAAAUUCUUAAGUGUUUACUGCUCAUAAUUCUCUACUGCAAUGACAAUCUCGCCAAGAACGAAAUUCAAAAUCCAAACUGCUAUCAAAAUCGAAUCAAAAUUCCCAACCAGCCAAACUGCCAGUGUCUUAAGCAACUGCCACGCCCCGUCGCCGCCCAUCGAAGAGUCUUGUGCCCCAAGCAAAAAAUCCGGCCAGCAAAUCACACCGAAAUCCGACAGAAACUGCAAGGAAGGAAACCAAAAUUCAAGUCCAGGCGCAAACCAAAUAUCCAAGUACACUUUUGCUGGGCCCAAAGCCGACAAAGCUGAUGAUGAUGAACUCGAUGGCGAGGAGAAGGAUCGAGCAUUUGACGGCGAAAGGAGCAGAAGGACGAAAUGGAGCAGCGACGCCGACGCCGGCAGAAGCAGCAGAUAAUCAAGAGAAAGGAGAAAGCUGCCCCGCCGUAGAUAUCCAGCUGAAUAUCUAAGCAGGGGCAGUGAUUUACCCCAAGCAGCAAAAGCCACCCCUCGACAGGAAGCACACACACAUACAGCCCACAUCCUGCGGCGAAUUCACACACAAGCACAACCCGACACAGAGAGAGAGAGCCGAAGCAGCAGCAAAGAGAGAGAGAGAGAGCGACUGAGUGCCCACCUUUUGCUCUCCGAAUUUCGCAAAACCAAACAAAACAAAUUCAAAAAUCCAAAUUCAACUUUCGGCUCCUCUGGCAAUCAUCAAAAUUGAAAACCGAAAACCAAAAUUCAACUCAAAAUUGAACCACAUACCGGCCACAAAAUUCCAAAUUCUGACCAAAAUUUAAUUUAAAGCAUUUAUCAGUCCAGGUAAUCAAAACUCUAUACAAAAUCACACAAAGCAGCAUAGUAUAUAAAAACAAUCAAAAUGACAAUAAGACACAUUUCAAAUUCAAAAGUCCAAACAAACCAUUGCCAAAUGAAAUAAGUCGUAAACAAAAAUAAAACAAAUUCUGUUCAGAAGUCGCAGCAUUUCGAGGAACCUUCGGUGCAUAAUUAUUACCACAUUAAGAUGAUUAAGUAUUCGCAGCCCACCCAUUAAAUUGAGAAAACAAAACCGAGCCGCCAAAAAUUCAAAAAAAAGAGCGAAAAAAAUAAGUGCAGCUAAAUUUCAAAAAGCCAGUAUUAUAAAUUACAAGAAACUGCGGAAGUUUUAAUGCGACAAAUGUCAGGAGCAAAAACGCAGGCCGCCGAAAAGCACCAAAAAUUCCGAGCUGGAGCUGGCGAAGAAGACGCGACAGGAACAGGAUAAUGGUUAGGGAAACUCCUGGAAACUUUCUGGCCAAAAUCUUACAAAUGGCGGCCAAAGGGCGCGGCGAGCGGAGAACGGCCAAAGGGCAGAUAAAUCACAGCGAAACAAAACAAUUCCCAGCUCUCGUGAAAAUUCCAAAUCCACAAGAACAAAAACUGAAACCGAAACUGAAACUGAAUCUGAAUCUGAAUCUGAGAGCACUGUAUACUGUAAACUAUAACAAAAACCGAAACAAAAACAAAGGCACGCGAUUUCAAAGAAGAGGGUUGCAAAACCAGUAACCAAAAUCAGUUGAGCCGGCAAAAUCAGAAUCCCAGGCAGCAGUCCAGUCCAGUCCAGUCCAUCCUCAAAAGAUUCCACGAUGACCAUGACCACUUUGAUCCGCCCCAGGAGAGGCCGCGUCCUCAAGCGCAUUACUUUCGCCCGAAGGCCGCCGCACAAAAAUCACAAAUUUGAAGACAAACUGCAACUUAACCCAAAUCCAAUUCGUAAUCAAAAUCAUUAUCAAAAUCAAAAUCAGAAACUCAAACUCAAACUCAAAAUGAAAGCAUCAGCAGCAUGGCCAGCAGAACCGCAACUUUAAGUAAUAUUCGGCACUAGUGUCACGAGCACAGUUGAAACACUCGAAACUUAAAACUCCAGGCACCCAAACUCCCAUUCUGAAAUUGUGGUCAGACUUGGUUUCUUUGGCAAAAGUUCGAACCAUCAUCAUAGCGUCGUGCAGCUGAAAGCACAUCAAACAAAACUCCAAAUUUAUAUAAACUACUGGCAAUAGCCGAGGUCGAGGCAUAAUUGCCAUCAAUAAAUAAAAUAUGGCUGGCAUGAGCAUGAGGGGGCCAUAAGCAGACCCUCAGCCAAGAAGACAGGACACCCAAUCCGAGCAAAAGACCCCGCGACCCAUCCUCCGCAGCAGCCAGUCAAUGGCCACUAGACAGCAGAACGUUUUGAUUUAUAAAUUCAUGGCAAAAGUUGCCCGGCCAAGUGGCAGCCGCCGACUAUGACGACACAUACACCGACUAUCAAACCAGCCAGCCAUACAACCAACCAACCAGCCAACCAACCAACCAACCAACUUACCAACCAACCCACCCAGAGACUUGGCAAACAAGAAACUGCAAAAACCGUCUUAUGAAAUUACACAUUUCCGACUUGUACUAGUAGAAAACCCCUCGAAAUCACCCAAGCCGAAGCCCAAAAAGAAAAAAACAAAUUCAAGCAAAUUCAAGCAACCAAAUUUACAACGAAGUUGCAGUUAGUAGCUCCAACCUCCCCUCUGACAAAUCCGGCACAGAAAUUUAGUUAUGACUUUUAUUUACACACAAGAACAUUUCUAGAGAGCAGCAUCUUCCCACCUUUGGCUAGUACGACUACGAUAAAAAAAAAUUGAAAGAACAUAUUUACCAAGAAAGUUUCGGGCAAUUUGGAAAUUUGCAAAAUCAUUGAGACAAACGCGAAAAGCACCCACGAAGAGUAGCAAAUGGAAUCUUGUACAAUAGUUCUAUUGAAAGACAUUCGAAAAGAAAGAAAAGCAAAGAAAGAUAGAAAAGCAUAUCCUUCCCGGCCAGAUCUACGCAAAGAGAGAGACAGAUAUAGAUAGAUAGAGAGAGACAGCCAAACGAAAGGACAGGGAGUAUGCGAGUAUAGCAUAUGCAUAUAUUCCAUAGCCAGAACAGGAGAAAAAGGACCAGAAUCGCGAAAAGAUAACAUUUCGGACACAAGGUUGGGGAUACCUAGUGUAAUUGCUUAGACUUAAGAGUGUUGCACUUAGCCAAGUGCAGUGCCAACUGACCCCGCCCACAACAACGCCCCCCGUUGAGCAAAAAAAAAACCCUAGAUAAUGGAAAUUUCCCAUCGGGCAGACUAAAAAGAUACACCUUAGGCCUCUUUAGACCCCAAAAAAAAAAAAUGAAGAACUGAAGAAAUGAAGAAAAAAAACAGGAA